GUGUGAUUUUAUAGAGGUGUAUAAAAUCAUGGGAGGAAUAGAUGAGGGAGAUGCAGUUUCUUGCCUAGAGUGGAGGAAUUGAGAACCAGAGGACAUAGGUUUAAAGUGAAGGGAGAAAGAUUUAAUUGGAAUCUGAUGGCCCUGGCCCACUGUAAGAGUUCAUUCAAGUUUGCCCUGAUUCGAACUCGGAGAUUUACGAUAAUGGCCGCUCGUAAGUACUCGGUGCUCUCGUGGACAUUUUUCAACAUGUU